CCAGCCCGUCUACAGGCGGCCCCCAACGGGACGAUUAAAGAGACGGCCGUUUACUGUAGAAGCCUUUAUUUUGUAAAAAGUUUGUUGUUUGAAUGAUAACCCUUUUUUACCACAUACUUGAACACCUUGUAUUUGUAGAAAACACAUUUUGUUCAAACACCUAAAAAAGCUGAUUGACACUAUAACAUUAAAUUGCACUGACAAAAAAAAUACAACUUCAUACCACACGAAUGCUGAUUCCAAGAGAACUGGUACUCCAAUUGAAAUCAAACACCUUAGUAAACAACGGAAUUAAAUAAGCGCCCAAUGUGAACAAAACAAUUACAGUACAAAAACCAAAUGCAUUUUUUUCUUCCAGCGCCAGUAUAUCUGAUGAUUUACAUUUCUUUCUCAUGAUAAAACAACAACAGUAAUAAUCCAACAAUCCAUAACAAAUGCAACAAAUACAAUAAAUCAGAAAUGAACAAAUUAAAUAAAUCACUUUUUUUUUGUUAAAAAAAAACAACAGGUUUUACUUUUGUGUUUUUCGAUCUUAAUCGCCAAAUUUCAUGUAAAGAAUCCGAACUUGAUUGGUCCCCAGGCUGCUGUCCUACUGUGGCUCUGGGGUCCACAGACCACAGACCACAGCAGCCGUCUGGGGCGAACCGGUCUGCAGGGACUCUGCUCCCUCCUGGCUCCGUGCUCUGAGCGGUGAAUCAUGUCAAAGCGUUACGCUGAACUCGACCAAACUACAGCGUUCACCUGCUGCUGUUACUCCAAACGGUCUAAAGCGAACCACACACAACCCGGAGACAGGCCUACACGCUGAGGGGGCUCCAGGGAGAAAGUUCUCCCAUCGAGAGGGUUCUACCAGUGAGAACAGAACGUUCUCCCAGUGAGAAGGUUCUCCGGUGAGAAGGUUCUCCAGUGAUACGGUCCUCCCAGUGAGAACCUUCUCCCAGUGAGAAGGUUCUCCAGUGAGAAGGUCCUCCCAGUGAGAAGGUCCUCCCAGUGAGAACGUUCUCCCUGUGAGAACGUUCUCCGGUGAGAAGGUCCUCCCAGUGAGAAGGUUCUCCAGUGAGAAGGUUCUCCAGUGAGAACGUUCUCCGGUGAGAAUGUCCUCCCAGUGAGAAGGUUCUCUGGUGAGAAGGUUCUCCCAGCGGGGGCUGUCUGGGUCUCAUGUAAACACGGGGCGUGGAGGUCCUGGUUGUGGAGGUCCAACGCAGGAGGAAUAGAAAAAUAGGAAAAUGAAUCCUUCCCAAAACCCAGGUCAUGCAAAACAAACCCUUGAAUACGGAGCAUGGGGACGGCACAGGGCUGGCCCAGGGGGGGGCCGGGGAGCGGACCGGGGGGCGGAGGUCGGACCGGGGCUGACCCCCCAGGGUGACGCCCCAGGGGCUGUUUGGUGGCUCUGUGGAGGGCGGCGGACGGAGACGUAUGGCUUAGUGAGGCCGCUCCCACUUCCUGCUUCGCUCCGUCUGGGGGCGUGGCCCGCGUGCGUCUGGGGGCGUGGCCCGCGUCCACCGUCUGUCACCUAACCUACAAGGCACGAAGUCGCGACCUAUCUGUGAAACCUACGAACGACGCCGGGAGGUCAAAACAAGAUGGCGGCUCUAGACUAGUGACGGCUCGGGUCCUCGUUUCCACGACGACAGCUCUAAAGACGAACAGAGGUUUCCCGGGCCGCCGUGAAACACCGACGCUGAACCUCCCUAACACAGACAGAGUGAACAGUGUAACUUGUGUUACUAUUUACGAAAGCACUGUUCGUACGAAGUGCACGUCAAGUUCCACUCCUGGUGCGAGCGUCGUUUAUAUCUUUGGUUUGCCGCCACCGUUCCUCAGCCGGGUGGUUCCGGCUGCGUCGCCGCACAGGGCCGGUUGGGGUGUGACGGUCUCUGCUCUCUGCUACUGUUGGCCGACUGAGAGGCUCCACAGGAGCAGUACGGUCACGGUGCCCCCGGUGGAGACUGGUGUCUCUACAGCCUCACAGGGCUACUGUGGGCCUCCUCUCCUACCACCUCCUAUCUCCAGGGGUCCCCUGGUCCUACAUUAGCCCCCCCCACACACACACACAUAAAGUAGGUGAGAAACGACCACUAGUUCACGUGUUGCUCACUCUGGGUUUUAAGAUUAAAACAACUAUUAUCAUCUGAACAAACGCGCAGCAACAGAGAAAUCCACCAGAAAGCAAAUUUUAUUUCAAUUUAGAAAAACGUCUAAAACGAGUUAGAAAAGAGCGAACCGAUCCGUCUGUCGGCUCAUCAGGUCUCGCUAUCGUCGCUCAUCGGACACGCCCCCGGGCGACGACUCCGGGAGACGGCUCUGGGGUACGCGCUACAGACCCGGAGAUGGCGGACGUGUUCUCAGUGCAGCUUCGGACGUACGUACGCCGUUACGUCAGAGCUCGGUACGGACGGACGGACACCGUGCCGCGAGAGUCGCACGCCUCCACAGAGCCAGCCCCCGGGACACCCCCCCGUCAGACCUCCUGCUGUCCAACCAUGCUCCGUAUCUCUCCUCCCCCUCCUCCAGCUCCUCCUCCUCCUCCAGCUCCUCCUCCUCCUCCUCCAGCUUCUCCUCCUCCUCCUCCCC
ensembl:lncRNA